rnacentral:rRNA from 1 species
AUUGAACGCUGGCGGCAUGCCUUACACAUGCAAGUCGAACGGCAGCACGGGAGCAAUCCUGGUGGCGAGUGGCGAACGGGUGAGUAAUGUAUCGGAACGUACCUUUCAGUGGGGGAUAACGUAGCGAAAGUUACGCUAAUACCGCAUAUUCUGUGAGCAGGAAAGCAGGGGAUCGCAAGACCUUGCGCUGAUUGAGCGGCCGAUAUCAGAUUAGCUAGUUGGUGAGGUAAAGGCUCACCAAGGCGACGAUCUGUAGCGGUUCUGAGAGGAUGAUCCGCCACACUGGAACUGAGACACGGUCCAGACUCCUACGGGAGGCAGCAGUGGGGAAUUUUGGACAAUGGGGGCAACCCUGAUCCAGCCAUGCCGCGUGUGUGAAGAAGGCCUUUUGGUUGUAAAGCACUUUAAGCGAGGAGGAGGCUCCUAUAGUUAAUACCUAUAGUGAGUGGACGUUACUCGCAGAAUAAGCACCGGCUAACU